rnacentral:rRNA from 1 species
AGUCGAACGCCCCGCAAGGGGAGUGGCAGACGGGUGAGUAACACGUGGGAACAUACCCUUCGGUUCGGAACAACGCCGGGAAACUGGCGCUAAUACCGGAUACGGCUUGAGGGCGAAAGAUUCAUCGCCGAAGGAUUGGCCCGCGUUCGAUUAGCUUGUUGGUGAGGUAACGGCUCACCAAGGCGACGAUCGAUAGCUGGUCUGAGAGGAUGGCCAGCCACAUUGGGACUGAGACACGGCCCAAACUCCUACGGGAGGCAGCAGUGGGGAAUAUUGGACAAUGGGCGCAAGCCUGAUCCAGCCAUGCCGCGUGAGUGAUGACGGCCUUAGGGUUGUAAAGCUCUUUCGCACGCGACGAUAAUGACGGUAGCGUGAGAAGAAGCCCCGGCUAACUUCGUGCCAGCAGCCGCGGUAAUACGAAGGGGGCUAGCGUUGUUCGGAAUCACUGGGCGUAAAGGGUGCGUAGGCGGGAUCUUAAGUCAGGGGUGAAAUCCCGAGGCUCAACCUCGGAACUGCCUUUGAUACUGGGGUCCUUGAGUCCGGAAGAGGUGAGUGGAACUGCGAGUGUAGAGGUGAAAUUCGUAGAUAUUCGCAAGAACACCGGUGGCGAAGGCGGCUCACUGGUCCGGAACUGACGCUGAGGCACGACAGCGUGGGGAGCAAACAGGAUUAGAUACCCUGGUAGUCCACGCCGUAAACGAUGAAUGCCAGCCGUUGGGUGAUUUAUCACUGAGUGGCGCAGCUAACGCUUUGAGCAUUCCGCCUGGGGAGUACGGUCGCAAGAUUAAAACUCAAAGGAAUUGAC